rnacentral:rRNA from 1 species
CGUAAAGCGCAUGCAGGUGGUUUGUUUAAGUCAGAUGUGAAAGACCCGGGGCGUCAACCUCGGAAUAGCAUUUGAAACUAGGCAGACUAGAGUACUGUAGAGGGGGGUAGGAAUUUCAGGUGUAGCGGUGAAAUGCGUAGAGAUCUGAAGGAAUACCGGUGGCGAAGGCGGCCCCCUCGGACAGAUACUGACACUCAGAUGCGAAAGCGUGGGGAGCAAACAGGAUUAGAUACCCUGGUAG